CCGGUGUGUGCGUGCUUCUGUCCGGGUGAAAAGCAGGGCGAAUCGAUCGUGUGUUGGCAGGGUGUUUUUUUACCGUCCUCGUUUGCACCCAGCGGCCACCCGUGAAAAUAUCUCCUCUCCCUUGCCUUCUCUCACGUGCUCUCCCCUCCCCUGAUCCCCUCCUUCCCUACCGUCGCGCCGCCGGCUCCACGCAGCGGCCGACGCGGCCUUCUCUCCCCGGCGCUCGAGGUACAGCAGCGGCUGCGGCACUUGUCGGCCCAGCCGGAUCCGGUGCAGGUCGCCGGCAUCACGCGCCGCGUGCCGUGAUUCUGGAUCGGGCGCAGAUCUUUGCGCCGCCACCUCUCCUCCUCCUAUCUCUCUCCCAUGUCGCCAUUGUUGCAAGGAGCAGGGGAGAUAGGUGCCGAGGACAAGAAGCAACGGGUUGCAAGGAGCAGGGGAGAUAGCUGCUGGGGAGAUGGAGGAGGCCGUCGUGGUUCGUCAUGGAGGCGGCGCCGCCGGCAAGCUGGUUGAGAAAACCAAAUCUGCACCAUGCCGCCUCACCCUCUCAGAUUACUGUUUCAUCCCUUUGAUAGUUUUUUAGCACAGAGGAAUGAGGAAUGGAUACAUGAGGCAUGGCGUAAGCGUAGGGGUCAGCCAGGGCAUGACGCAAGAGUCUGCCCAUCUCCUCUCAAACCGCUGGAACUGAGGGAUAUUGACACGGGUAACAAAAUAGUUGAAAGAUUUCGCACCGACGAGGCUCUUGAGACUACAAACAUUUCUUCACUCCUUGUACGAAAGGAUUCUAGGACUAAGUUAUAGGAUUUUAUAUUUUAGUCGGAUAUUCCUUCUGUUAAUAUGUGCUCCUGUGCAAUUUUUCAUAGGCUUCUCUUUCCUUUUUCUGGUUACGGUUUACAAAGCUGAGCAAUAGUUUCUCUACUAAUGUAGCUUGCGUUAAAAACAUCCGUCUUUAGGAUGCUUUUGCGGCAUGUGUAACUGACUCACAUUAGCCUAUGCUUCUAUCCGAGUUGUUUACUACUAAGACCAUAAUGGAUCAUGCUUUUUAACUGGUAUAUAAGUGUUGAUAGAAAAUGAUAUGUCUUAUUUUUUGCCUGGUAAAUUUUAAUUGGUGCAUGCAAUCCAUGCUUCCCAGUCUUUGGUGACAAUGUUGUCAGGCCUAAAAAUAGAAGUUUUCGAUUUCCUCUGGUUUUUAGUUGGUUAGAUGUUAAUGCGUGGAAAUGUAUAUGCUGAUUUUUUUCCUGUUUUAAUAAAUUGCUAAUACGUGGAUCUUGUCUGCUUUGCAUGGACUAUAGUAUAUAUUCACAGACUUUGUCUGCUUGCUUCAAAACUAAAAUGUGACUUUUACUUGCCUAUUACCAAAGAAGAUUUCAUGCAUGCCACAUCAAGUCGCCAUAGAUGCCUCCAAGUGAAAUUUCAGCGACGACAAGGUAUAUUUUCCCCAACACCUGAUCUUCUUUAAUCAGACCACCGUUCAUUAUUGCGUAUAGGCUUCUUACUCUGUGCCUGAAUAAGCGAUUGGUAUCCACAUGUUUGUUUCCAUGUGUUCUACUGUCUUUCUGGUACUUGAAGCAUAGUAUGUUUCAUGUGUGCGACUACAGUUCCAGCGAGUUGGAAGUCCUGUUGUUCUCAAAGUUUGCAUCAUAUGCCCUUUAGAGAAAUCUUUAUUGAACAUUUUAAUUUUCCUCAUACAUGCUUAUCAUUUGGCAUCAUGUUAUUUUGUGACACAGUAACUGAAUAUGCACACAGGAGGAUCACUCUGGAUGUGUAGGAGGUACUUCCUCCGUAAACUAAUAUAAGAGUGUUUAGAUUACUAAAAUAGUGAUCUAAACGCUCUUAUAUUAGUUUACAGAGGGAGUAUGAAGUAAUAGCCAUUUUUUUUCUCUGUGUAGAUUUGGCAUCAUAUUGCCCAGUAACUGAAUAUGCACGCAUGAGGAUCACUCUGGAUGAUGGAAAAUGCAUUAUCCGUGGUAAGAAGCUAACGGUGUCGCCCCAUUUAUACCACAUUUAGGCAUGAUAAUUAAAUUAGCCUUCAAAUUAAAUAGAUGUCCGCAUUCAUGGGUACAUAGCUGAGCUGAGCUACUAUUUUCUUGUUUGGGAAUGAGGUAACACUAUACAGACAGCAUGUUGACACUCUGAACAGCUUAAUACUAGACGGAAACAAAAUUUCUCUUCCUACUAUGUCUGUACCAUGAACAAGAUGUUCGCAACAAGUGGUCAACAAAUGGUAUUCUGUUCCCGUCCUUUCUCCUUUUUAUGAAUCUUCAUAGCUGCAUCUUAACCAUGCUUAAUAUCUAUUGCAGCACUUUUCCACUCACUUCACACAAGAAUAUCUCAAGGGGCACAUGCAUGGAGAGCAUACUGAUUUGCUGAUCAAAGCUGGAAACAGACCUGCCAUCGUCAUUGCUCGGCUUAUCAUACAAUCACAAGAAGCUGGACUCAGUUCUUUGACAUUGCAAAUAUGAAAGGAGGAGUGUCAUAUGCAUUUGCCUUUGAGGAAUUGGCAGGAGAACUCAUAUCAUCGUGCACUCCCUUUGAUAGCUUCAUGAGCAACCACUGCCAUCAUCUCAUAAUAUAGCUCAGGUUCAAGACCUAGGUCAUGCACUACUUUUCUCGACCAUAUAAUGUGCUCUGCGUCACCUUAUCCUUUCAGCUCCAGUACUUCAUAAUAUAAAGUAGAUGAAACAUCUUUUUAAAUUGGUGUGGAAAUACAAAUGCAGAUGGAGCUAUGUAAUCCAGCUUGCUUUCUAUCAUGAGUUGGUUUCAUGACUUUGUUUUCAGCCAUCUUGGUACCAUGCAAUGGAAUAUAUAACACUAUGUUUGAACAUUGUA